CCUCACUUUUCCCCAGCUGGGCAUCCUUAAUCUUGCUCGAAUCGUCAUUUUUCAUAUCUUUUUCCAGCUGGGCUUCUUUAAUUUGAGCUGAAUCAGGUUCUUUGACUGAAAUCGGAGCAGAAUUUUGAGAAGUGAUGAUGGGGGUGGGGGUUUUGCGUUUCUUGGGAGAUGUUUUUGUUGUUUCUGCUCGGACUUUUUCUUGCUAGCAUUGGACAUGAGGAGGUCGAAGGCAGAAGGGCGAGAAGCCAUUGCUGCUAGUGAUCCUGGAUUAACUAAUGGAAUCGAGAGAAAGAAGGAUCUCUGAGAGAAGGGUUUUGCGGGAAGGAAGAAUAGAUGAGAAAGUAGGGCUUAAAGCCGAGUGGUUUUCUGAGGGGAAACGAAAGAGUGUGGUGGUAAAGUGGAGUGAAGAAGAGCAUGACCUGAAUGCGGUGAGCAACAGCUGCCGUUUUUCUGCUACGGAGAGGGAGACAACUGACACGGGUUGCUGUUGCGGAUGCGGAUGGCUAGGAGGGAAGAGGAAGGCAAAUGGCAGGAAAGGAAAUUGAGGGUUUUGUGCACUUAGGAUUGAAAAUUGCCAGAAAAGCCUUUGGAAAAAAAUUGCUGGGGAAGCCUUUUUUGUGUUUGGGCGAUGAGUUGUUAGCAAAAUCUUGAGAGAGGGACUAAAAUUUUCAUUUCGUAAGCUAGCAAUAGGUGACUUGAAAUUUGUGAUUUGAAGGUUUGAGGUGUACCCCCCAAAAAAAUAAUAACAAAGUCGUAAGCUAGCAAUAGGCAGACUAGUGAGUUAGUGGUUUAUUAGUGGUUUAUUAUACGUUUUCUUUCACUAUGUUCACACUCUGAAGUCUGAAUUAUUCCAACCCAAUUGAUGAAAAAUGUUUUAAAAAUGUUUAGGACAAGUGCAAUAUCCACAUAGUUUAUUUUUGUGAUAUGUCGCAUCGUGGAGUGGAAACGGCAUGCAUAUAUGCUUGGGCUCGUGAGUUAUCAAGUAAUUUAGAUUAAUCAUAUUUUGUACCAUAAUUUGGAUCAAAAGUUAAUUAGGCCAACCCGUGGAUCAAAAGCGUUACAAUUUUGACUUAUUUUAUUGAUUCAAGUUUGUUCAAAAACUUUUUUUGGUAAAAAAUUUAUGCGACAUGGAAACAUAAUUUGGUGAAUUCACAAAACCAUGUAUAUUGCACAUGCCAAAAUCAGCUCGAAAGUGGAUUGUCCAACCCAAUUGUAAUGAUACAAGUUUUAAAAGAUUAGCAAAGAUGCAUACGAAGUAAAAAAAGGUGAUUAGCAAAUGUGUUUACGAAAAAAAAAUUUAAAAGAAAACAGUUUUCCAAAAUUUUAACUCUCGCACCCAUUCCUACACUUUUCUACUCCCAACUGUCAAGUUCAGAAUUCGAACUUUGAACUCGACGACGUUGGUCAUUGGACCAAUCCCAAUGCUUAAUUUUACCAAACUUGCAAAACAAGAAAUAAGAAUAAAGACCGACCAAAACGUCUAUAAGUAUACUGAUCAUCACAAAUAAUAUAAAAUCUGUUUUGACUUGCCAAACUUAGGUUAUUUGCAUGAGUUUCUUCAUUGUUUUUUAAUUUUAAUAAUAAUUGAUAUCCCUCUUCUGAAGUCUCUCCACAGUCUCCACACACGGGGUUGAUGGAACAGUUUUUGAAUGAGAGCCAUUCAAGUCAUGUUGUUGAUUGGAGUUCCAGAAAAAAAAAACUCCAAAUUCCGUCUGCAACUGGCUGGGGUACGCUGGUACGAACAAAAAAUCUAUAAUAAGAUAAACAAUGGAAUGUAGUUGUAAUGAUGAACCCCUACCUAAACCUAAAUAAACGGAAUAAUUAAUACACCACCAAAUCAAUAAUUGUAUCAUAUUCUACAUGUUCUUUCCUUCUCGAACUAGCUUGCAACUGGUUUUGAUACGUCAGGUUUCUUUACAGGGACUAGACUACAACUACUUGUAUGGAGGAAGAAACUCCAAGUUCCUGAGUCCACGAAUUUCGGAUCCCACCAGUGAUUUUUGUGUUGUUGGUCAUGAUUAGUUUCUUCUUAUCUUCUCCCAGUGCAGGACGGUUGGUCAACUGAACAUGCAAGUUGAUAAUUGCUCAAUUCUUCAAUGAUAAUAAUGUUGAUGAAAAACUCACAAAUUAUGCAGAACGAUCUGGAGCAGAAGGGCCUGCAUUGAUUGCUUAUCAUGAGAAUCCACUUCACUUGGGCAGAGAGCUAGGGGGUGAGCAUGAGAAAUGGCAGCUACCCGUUUGGAUUGCAUUUUUCGUCAUUUUUCAUGAAAAAAUUACUGUAGCGAUUUGAUGUACGUAAGGAAAAAAGAUAAUAGAAAAAUGUGUUCACGAAAAACGACGCAAUUUUCUGGUAAAAAAUGGCAAUCCAAACACACUGGCUUCAACUACUUGGUCCACUAAUAUUGCUGCUGCAUAUGGAGGUUGAGAAACAGGGAUGGUGUUGGUUUGUGGGUCCCCCUUAGACUGACUUUAGGGUCCGUUCUUUCGUUGACUCAUGAGUGUUUCUAAUCUAACUGUGUGUGUUCUUCUUCUGUCUAUAGAAAAAAGAAAGUGUAGUAAACUUUUUUCAUUCUUAUUACUCCUCCGUCCCACUUUGAUAGUCUGUUUUUUUUCACACAAUUUAAGGAAAAAUAGUUAAUUUUGUUGAAAAAGUAAAUUUAGAUUGCCAUUUUUCUAAAAUAUCCUUACAUUAAAUAUGGUACAACUUUAUGGGAACUUAGAAUUGAUGGUAAAAAAAGAAUAAACUCUUAUUAAAUGGAGUAGAUUUAUAGUAACAACUACUUACAUUGAAUAAGGGUAUAUUAGAAAAAUUAAAAUACAACUACAUUCUUCAAUUGAAAAGUGGACUACAAUUUGGGAUAGAUGAAAAAGGAAUACAGGACUAUCAAAGUGGGACGGAGGGAGUAUGAUACUUUUAUUAUAGUUCAUAAGCCCAAAAAAAAAAGAAAGAAAGUGUAGUAACAUUUGAUUCGUAGUCAUUAUAUAUAUUAUUAAAAUGCAUGCAUAUACAUUUAUAAUAUUUUUUUAAUUUAAUUUCACACUUUCAAAAAAAGUACUACUGUAUGAAAUCAUUUUGGCAGUGUCCACUAGAUAGCAUUAGACAAUUAAGACAUAAUAGGGAUUGCAAUAAUGUUUUUAAAAAAAAAAUUCCAAUCAGUAACCGACACACUACUCAUUUUCCAACAUAGAACUACUGAAUUCAUGGCCACAGAAAAGGGAUUAAAUUUCUCUUUUAACUAUAAAUUGAGGGUUCGAACUUCACUUAUAAUAAAAAAAUAAUUUAAAGGAGAUAUUAAAGUAUUCUUUUGAUUUAAUCAGAUUUUUAUAUAGAGUCUUUUUAGACUUUUUUCCUUUAAAUUAAGACAGAUUAAAUUAUAAAAAUAUUUAUCGAUGUUAUAAAAUAAAUAAGUAUACCAUAGCUUUCUAGUCAAAACAGGAAAAAGCUGAUAUGAUGAGUGAUGACCCUAGUCGCAGAUCCCAAAACACUGUCCACCUGAAUAUGCAUAUAAUUUUGGCUGGCUACACGAACGUGCAGGUUGUAAGACGGGGGAAGGAUGGUUAGGCAAGCUUGUUUUUUGGGUAAGAGAGGAGUUCUUGGUUAGACGAGUGAGAGCGUACGUGACUGUGCACUUUUUUUUUUUUUUUGGGAUAGAGCUCUAUUGGCAAAAAAAAUCUUUAAUAGCACCGCAAAUAUGUUUUUGUAUUACUUUUUAAUAUUUUUUUAUUUCAUAUACAUUACAUUAUAAAAAAUCUUAUGCUAUUUUUUAAAAAUAUUAUUCCAAAUAAUAUUCUAUCCAAAUACACUAGACUAUUUUAUUUGCAUCAUAUUCAAUCACCUUUUAAUUAUUUUACAUGCAUCGUAUCAUAUAGAAUGUGCUGUAAUGUUAACCUAAAUAAUUUUUCAAGUAAUCUUCCAUCCCAUUUAAGAAUAUUUAAAUGUACAAUUUAUAUUCCAAUUACAUCACUGCAAUGUACUAAAAUGAACCCCUCCCCCCUCCCCCCAAAAAAAAGAAUAAAAGGGAGGAUGAAAUGCUUUAUAUUCCAAUUACAAAUCACCUUCUGCAAUUAAUCACUUUAAGAAAAAUCUCAAACACUUCCCCUCCUCUUUUGCUUCAAAAGGGAGGAUGAAAUGCUUUAGUCUUCUCAUAAAAUUCAAAUGUUAAUUGCUUUCACCUAUUAAGCCAAGUGCCCCCAAUCUUGUUUAUACUUCUUGAACACCAAAUUCCACAGGACUAGUACUCGAUUAGUUAUAAACCCUUGUCAAGAUUCCAGUUUCUGAAUGCAACUUACUUCUGGAAAACCGAAUUCCACAUGACUGGGAACUCAAUUAGUUAUACACCCUCGUCAAGAUUCAAGCCGAUUGCAGAUGUCCUGCCAUAGAAUGGGAAACAGUGAAGAAAACAAAGAAAGGAUUCAUUUACUUUUCAUACCUCUCAUUGGUUGGGACAAAAAGUAAUAUUAGUCCAUCAUUAUACUAGUCCAAUACCUCAUCGAGACAAGAAAACGCGUUAUAUCAUUUCUUGGGUCAUCCACGUGUUUUUACUUUUCCUUUUUUUUUUAUGCUUUUGCUUUUGGGUACAUAUACAUCAUGAUUUUUAGAUUUUUGGCAAAAAAAAAAACAUUUUUGAAUAGUCAUUACAUUUUAUAUUGAAAUAUGCUCAUAUAGAGACAGAAAUGUCCAUUAUAUAUAAACUUAUAAAAUCACACAAGUCAAUAUGCACAAUUAAUAAUUCUCUAUUCUCAAUAAGUUCUAAACUGUUGAUUUAACUUUUUUAUUUAGACAAAAAAAGUCGAUCGGGGCGAUUAUUAAGUAUAUCUAGUAGUUGAAUCCAAAAAUCUACUUGGACACACGAGAAUUCCACUUGAUUUUAUUUAACGUGUCAAGUGGACUCCACUUAACAUGUAAAUAUGCAAAUGGAAUCCUUAUAUAUCCACAAGAAGCUUCACUGUUGAUCUUGGACUAACUACUAGUAGUUGUUUCGAGAACCGACAUACAAUUUCUAGUUUAGUUUAGUUUUUGGAGUAUAAUUAACAUUUCUUUAAGAAUAAUGUAGCACAGAGUAACACCAUACAAGAAAUAGUAGUAUUUUCUCGUGAAUAUGAUGUAUUUAGUGGAGUUCUUAUUGGAGUUUAGUAUAGAUUUUUGGGCUUUGCUUUUGUUUGGACAAAUGACUUGGGAUUUUCCCUUCGAUUUUGAUCUAAAAAUUGACGACUCACCUAAAUAAGAACUUAGGUAGGUAGAGACUAUCGGCAUGGACUUUGGAUCCCCAACACUUUCGCCAUCGAAUGGAUUCUACUACUACUACUACUUUUUUUUUCCUUUUUAAAUUCAUAUGACGGGGGCCCACAAAGCUUCACAGAAAACACACUGCCCCACACGGAUUUAAGACUCGAUUUUCCUGGAGUCAGUUGCUUUGCUCAUUGCCCUCUGUACUACUAUGAGAUUGCGGGUGGGGUCCCCAAUCCCCAUAUGGUGACCGGUAAUUUGCAAUUUUCCAAUGUUUUUAAACUCGGACCGGUCAGUGAACCGGAGAGGUUGCCGGUUCGCGGUCCGACUGAUUCGACCGGUCCAACCGGCCGGUUCACAGGUUCACUGAUUUUUUUUUUUUUUUUAAGUGUUAAGUACUAAACAGGUUUAAUUCUACACUUGAACUUUACCAACAUAACUUAAUUUAAGUUAUGAUAAUAAUAAAUUUCCUAAAAGUUAUACAUAAAACAUGGAAUGAUAAAUAUAAUUAAAAUAUCAUAAUUCACCACAAGUUUUCAUAAAUUCAUUAUAAACAUAAAUAGAUACAAUCCAAAUGUUCACCAAUUAUCACAAAUAAAAACACAAAAAAUAAAUAAAUUAAAUAUUGAAAUUCUUUUACAACCCUUAAAAAAAUCCAUAAAAGAGUUCAAGUUAAGACAAAUAAUUUGAAUAGCAAACUUUUAUGAGUGGCAUGAUAAGCAACCACAGCACCUUCACAAUUUAAUCAACUUAAGCUGAAAAAGUUAAAAUUUUAUUAUAAAAAUAUAAAUCUAAUUGCUCAAAUUAAAAAAAACUAAAAAUUUUUGAAAAACAAAUAUACAGUUAAACACAUAAAAAAUUAAUUGCUACUAAACAUUACUAAUUAACAUGUUAUAUUAAAUUCAAUGAUCCUAUACCAUUAAUUAUUUUAAAUUCAAUUAUCAGUAGCUUCGAUUAUGUGCUAACUAUCAUAUUUUUGACCAGCCCAAUGUUAUUAUUUAUAAUUCUUACCCAAUUCCUACAUGGAUGUGCACUACUUUUGCAAAAAUUUCAUCAUUAAUUAAUCAAAUAAAAAUAAAACAAAAAAUGAGGGAAACAUAUGAAAAUUGAGGGGAAAAAGAAGAAAAUGCAAAAAAAUCAACUAAAGAUAAUAAUAUAGAAAAAAAAACCUUGAAAAGAAAAAAAUUAAACUUACCAAGAUGUUGGAAAACAAGAAAAGUCGAAUUUUCAACUUGUUUACAAUCUGCUAAAGAUAAUAACCUGAUAAUAAUGGUGAAGACUUGAGAAAAUCUUGUUGUGGAUAUUUGGGUUAAAAAUGGUUAAGAAGAAAAAAUUGAAAAAAAAAAUAAGAGAAGAACUUGAUGUUUUAAUAUAUUUUUUAGUCAAGUAGAAUUCUCAACAAACUUAACUACAGUCUAGCGGUAAGAUUGUCAUAUGCAAACUUGGAGACUCGAAUUAUGGCUACACCAUUCUUGAUAUUUUGUUGAAAAAUUUAAAAAACCGCCGAUUCACGGUUCUUAACGGUUCACACGGUUCAUCCGGUUCGUCCGAGUUUCAACGGUUCUCCAUGAACUUCCGGCUUUAGCAUUAGACCGGACCGGUGACAUGGCCGGUUCGCGGUCCAACUGGUCGAACCGGCCGGUCCGGUCCGUGUGAGAACCCUGAAAAUAGAUAUAUAAGCCAGUGCAUAUUUCAUUUGCAUUUUUUUUAUUCCUUAAUAAUUUCUAACAUUACCUUUACUUGUUCGCAAUUAAGUACGUAAAAAUAGAUUUAUGAAAAAAAUAAUAUAAUUUUCCUAAGUUAUGAAAUUUCUUGGUUUUGCUAGACUAAAUUAAAAAUCUUUAGUGUUAGAUUAAUUUUUCGCCUUAACAUAAAAUGUUAGAAUACUUAAUUCCUUUAUGCUAAAGUAAUGAUAAUGGAAUCGAUAGAUUUACUAUCUUUAAAUAAAUUAUUUAAGUUCCUAUGAUUAAUUCCAAUUAGUUGCUAAUGUUAAAUGUUAAUAGGAAUUUCCGCGUUAAGAUAAAAAUCAAUGAAUUUUAGAUAAAUAUGAUAUUCCUAUACUAAACAUACUUAAGGCAUGAAAAUUCGAUAAAUAUAUCAUUAUCUUUCUUUAUUUUUAUAAUAAGUGCGUAAAAAUAAUUUUAUGGGCAAAUUGUCGCACUUGUAUGAAAUUAUUAUUUCACUUUACUUUAUAUUACUAAAUCGAUAAAUUUUGUGUAGGAUAACUUUAAUUCUUGAGAAUAAAUAAUUGGAGAUGCGGAUAAUUAAGUUAAUCGCUAAAUAAUGUUAGGAACCUUAAUAUUUAAGUUUAAUCGAUAUUUAUUCGAUAAAAAUGGUUAAGUAUAUUGGGGGGUUAUUAGGCGUUCAAAUCACUCUUGAGGAUAAAUCUUAGAAAUUAAGUUGAGAUUAGAAAACAAAGUGAAAAGACUAAAAGACCCUUACAAUUUCAUACGAAACCAAACGACCCCUAUGACAAAAUUCCCAUCACCGCAACUUCGACCAAUUACAUUUUAACCAAUUCGAUACGCAAACCUUUCGUAAACCGCGGCACCACAAAACCACUUGAUCAAAUUCACACUACAUCUCACAACCAUUUCAGCCGACUCUUUCUCUGCACAAGCCAAAUCCGCAAUCCAUUGCACUCCAAAUACCACGAUACCAACCACUCUACUCUUUCAUUUUUGAUUCACAACAAAACCUCAUUUCUUCCCUGCCUUGUCCGAGAGCAUCCGAGAGAGUGAGAGAGCUGCUGGAAAUUUUUGGUCCUGCCGUGAGUAGAGCAAAGCCAGGAAGGAGAAUCUGCAGGAAGCUACACCAUCUCACCUUCAUCCGCAACCCAAUUCCAGCCGCAACUCAAACCAGGACCACGUCUGAACUUGGCCGAGAGUGAGGGAAGACAUUUCUGGAAAAUUCGUGUGAGGGUUUAGCUAUUAGCUGAGGUAAUUUCUGAACUAAAUAAGUUAAUUGCUAGUGAAUGAAGCCAUAUCAGAGGUUGUAUGGGUUGAUUGUGUAGUUGGAUGAUGAAAUCAAGAGUUGAGAAAAAAAUUCUGUUUUGGCUUGAAAUUUUUGCCGAGAGGUUUCUUGAUUAAUGUAGCCUGAUUUGGUUUAAUGUUGUUAUUUAAGCUUAUAACCAUAACUAGUUACUUAAUCACAAGUUAAUUAGGUUCUGCUUGCGGCUAAUUAGUUAGUUAAAAAAAAAAAAUGAAAUCAAAGAGCAAUCUGCCAAGCAUGUUCAUCCGAGUCAGGCAGGAAAAUUUUUGAAAAUUUUGAUGUUCAUGGUUGUUAUGUGAACUUGAUUUCCAAACUGGAAAUGUUAAUCAGUGGUUAAGCAUAUGCAUAUUGAAUUUGAGCUCCUAACACCUUGACUUAACCAAGGAAAAUCUGGUUUUAAAAAUCAUUUUUAUUUGCUGGAAAAUUUUAGCAAAAGCCGUGAGGUUUAAAUCUGGAAAUUUUGGGGGUUUGUAACCAUGACUUAAACUCAACUCUUGAUCUGGAAAUGUCUAUUGUCUAGUUAAGUAUUUGUAAUUAGGAGUUGAGAAUUUAAAAGCAUGUUUUAAACCAGAAAAUGAGACGAAAACAGAAAAUUUCUUCAUGCACGAUUCACGUAGCUUGUUGAACAGAAUUCUGAAAUUUUUGGAGCGUUUGAACCUGCUAUUCGAAUUCGACUUUCAACCAAAAAUAUUAAUUGGUUAGCCAAAGGUUCACAUGAUGAAGUUGAGAAUCUAAAACCAUGUUUAGCCGAGGAAAAAAUUUGAUUUAUAAACACCUCAAUGCUGGGGAAAAAAAAAUUUCUGGAAUAGCCGAGAGGCUUGAUCAGAAAAUUUCAGUUGUUUUCUUUUGAACUUUAAAUUAUUUCUGGAUUUUUCCUUGGAAUUUUAAUGGUUGAGAAAUGCAGAGAAGUUGUAAGCCUUAAGUUGUGUAAGUCGGUUAGCAAUGAAAAUAUUUGAGAUAUAUGGAAUAGUGGAACCAGAAAAUGUGAGUUAUACAUGUGGAAAUUUUUGUGUGAUAGCCAAAGGGUAAGUUGGAGCCUUAACUGGAUUUUUUUUUUAUUUGUUCCUUGAAACUUGAUGGAUGGAAACGCCUGGAAAAUAUUGUUUUGGAGUUCUACAAGAAGUGUAUGGAUAGGUUAAAUAAAAACAUGUUGGUGUUAAAAGAGAAAAAGGAGUUUUCACAAGUGAAAAACUGAAAUUCCAGAUUUUUGGAUAUCUCUGACCAGUCUCAACGAAAUGGUUAUAUCUUGGUGUGGAAAAAUCCGUUUAAGGCGCCGUCAGUGGCGUUCGAAACUAGAAACAUAGGUCUUUGUCCUGUAAAAAUUUCAUAUUUUUCCUCCAUGUGUACUGUUGCCGGUAAACCCUCAAAGUGGACUGUUUGGACGGAUGUCCUGUUUCUUCGUGAAACUGAAAUUUGGUUUGGAUGGAUAUUUUAGCUUACUUGUGGUAUAAAUUCUUGAUUUAAAUUGUGGAUUGGAAGUAAUUGAUGUUGUCAAGGGCUAAUGAUUGAUGAAGCCUUGGCCAUUUGAAUGACUUUAUAAUUACUACUGGAAGACGAAAGAAAAUUUCUGGAAAGUCUUGGAAGCUUUACUUUUAUUUUUAAUUGCUUAUGAUGGGAUUUCUGAAACCAAGUGCUAAUGAUUGAUGAAGCCUUGGUUGAUUUAUUGAAAAUUUAUUGAAGGUGGGCUCUAUGAAUUCCCACCCUGAAUGGAUAACUGAAUUGCUGAAAUUGUUUAGACAUCUGCGCUACUAUUUUGUAAAACUGUGAGUUGAUAUAAAUUGUUGAAGCACAGGGCUAUGAAUUAACGAGCCCUAGUGUUAUUACGGUUUAAGUUCUAAUUGUGCAAUAUUGAGAAAAUGUGAUUUUUGGAUUGGAAUCGAAAAUGUGAGAAGUUGUACCAACCUUGUGACUCCAAGUAAACGCUUGACUAAGUAAUUGAAAAACAUUUUGCUCUAAGUCUUGAACGGUACAAUUUUAGCAUAGUACGACUAAACAUAGUGUCUAAUAUUAUAUAUAUAUUUUUUUGACUUAAAAACUUGGGCAACAUGACUUUUAACCCUUAAGUUAGACUAGCCUUAUUUAUUUGGGAAAAAUAACUCUCCAAGACUUAAAACCUUAGUUUGUUUCAAUUUCCUUCCUUCUUUAUAAAUCGUUUAAGGCUAGUUGUAACUAAGGAAAAGUUUUAAAGGGUGAGUCUUGAUCACCUUAGCUAUAUGUAUAGAAACUCGCUCGGCAAGAGAGACAUUAUUUUCUUUUAGCAAAACAGCUUUAGCAACGUUUGUAUAAGAAACCUUAUCUUGAAGCCUUAGCAAUAAAUUUUGCAAGCACCACCACUCAAAAGAACUUUUUCUCAAGGUAUACUCUUAGCCUCGAUAUUAAAUAGCUUGCCGACUUAUUUUAAGAAAAUAAUAAUAGUAUUUUCUUUAAGAAAAGUAUUCCAAGGAAAAACUAAAGGAAACAAUUCUUCUACUUUCGUCAAGAUUCAACCUAUGGAGAUUCUUGAUUUUUCUAAGGGAAAGUGAACUAGUAGUAUAUUAGAUAUACCUCUAUAUCUAUAAGCUUAAAGACUGAGUAGAAACUUAUAGUUUCAAAAUUUGGUUUUUAGGAUACUGCGAGGACGCGGAAUUCGAUUCCCAACUUGAUAUCUAAACUUCACUCUGGGUGAGUGUCCCUGCUUGUUCUAUGCUUAACCGUUUAAAGUGCUUUCUUGACUUGAUAUGUGAUAAUUUGAAAAAUUGGUUUCUGAUCCAUCGAAGUGAGCUGUGUGUACUUUAUCGCACUAGCCGUUCGAGUGGUGACUUGUGCAAAAACAUUUUUCUUCUGAAUCCAUAAAUCUAAAAUGUAGUUGCGUCGUUGGGUGAAUCCCUCGACUUCUGUAUCCAACUAUCAUAAAUCUAAAAUGUAGUUGCGUCGUUGGGUGAAUCUCUCGACUUCUGUAUCCAACUACCAUAAAUCUAAAAUGUAGUUGCGUCGUUGGGUAAAUCUCUCGGCUUCUGUAUCCAACUACCAUGACGGGUAUAUCUCGAGUAUACUACGUCCUUAGUCGGUGAGCGGGCCCGGGACAGGGGUAUGAAAGGUGACGGGUUAGGAUCAAAAUGAGUGAAUGUACAUGGUCUCUAAGUAGUGAGAGUUGACGGAGGGUCAACUACGAUGAAUGGUGUUCAAGCGAGGAAAAUGGCUCCUGAGAGCCCCUGUAUCCUACCUUGUGCUGUUAUACGCUUUCCUAACUGUUUAAAUUUGCUGAGUUAUUAUCCGCUGUUUGUUAUUACGUGAUUGCAUGUUUUGGGGCACCACUGAGCUUUAGCUCACCCCACGUUUAUUGUUUUCCUUAACAGGUUCUGGAAACUGAAAGCUGGACACUUACUUAUGUUUUUCUUUUGGAUUGUAUUUGAAUAUUAUGACUUAUUCUGUGGGCUGUAAUGUGUUAUCUGGGAUAAUGUAUUUUUCCUUUUUGGAUUGCCACUUGAAGCUGGAAAAUGUGUAAACCCUAAUUCGAUUACUUGGUUUGUAAGUUUGUAAUAGAGAUUUAUGGAUUUUAUCUAUCCGGUUUGUUACGACUUAUUUCUUUGAUACGUAGCAUGUAGGACGUUUAAGGGCCUCGACUGGUUAUUUUUAUCACUGCUAUCUCUGAAGUUAAUGUGGCUUUAAGGAUGAUCUUAUUCGGGGAAAAUUGUUUUGUAAUAUAUUAGGUUAUUCUUCGAAAGGUUCGGGUUAGAUUGCUCGCAUGAGUCUUGGCGAGAGUUGGGCAGACGGCCCGCCAACCCUUUGGUUCGCCUCAGGGGGAAGUGGGGUCGCCACAGUCCGGUUCUGAAAACACUGCAAUUUUCAACUCUCACAGUUUUGCCCUGCUGCGUCCGGCGCACCUGCCCUUCCAACGGUUUGAAUGGGUCGCGUCAUUUCGUCUUUGAUCUCAGCCGUCUCUUUCAAAAAUUAUAUGUGUUUUUUUUUUCAAAAAAAAUAUUUUUCAAUUAAACAAUUUUUUUAAGUGUUUUUUUUCAGACUUUUAAAGUUAGUUAAUUAAAACCUUCAAAUCUUACGAGGGAGGGAGAAAAGGAAUAGGAAAGGCUUGACGGUCAGAACCUAGGAAGGAAAAGUUUUUGUUCUUAGCUCCGCAUAGUUGAUGCUAUGUUACUAAAACAUGAAAGAAUAUGAAUUGAUAGUUUUGGUAGAAAAAUUUUAAAAUAUUUUUUUAAUACAUUUUUCAAACGUCAUUGUAUUUCACAUAUAUUACAUUAUUACAUUAUAAUUUUCUACAAAAAAAAAUAAACUUAAAAAGAUGGCAAUCCAAAUGAGACUGAAAUCAAUUUUUAUGUGUAUGACUUCUUAAAACGAAAUUCCUAAAGUAUAUAUAUAUAUAGGCUAAGAGUUUAUGUCUGAUAAAAGAGGGUGCAAUUCGACAAUCUUUCAGAUUUUUUUAUAGCCGUCCAAUUGAAAAUUUGAAACUGAGUUAUCUAUAUAAGAUAAACAUAAAAGAAAAGAUUUAAGCACUAUUUAAAUUGUAAACUGAACCAGAGUCAAUAGAUUAAGACCCGUUAAGAAUUUGGUGUGGUCUGCCUUUUGGUGGACAGUUUUACUGCCAUUAAUCCAUCACUUGUUUAUCCCUCUUUACAUUUCAGUUUCUGCGUGAAACUUGUAAUUAACCUUCUAAUACCAAAUCAAUAUGUGUGUAGACUGUACACAUUGAAUAUUAUUUGAGAUAAUUUUUAUUAAAAAAUACUAUAAUAUAUUUUUUAUAUAAUGUAUGUAAUAUAAAAAUAAUUAAAAAUAUAUGUAUCAUACGAGCAAAUAAAUUUACGUAAAUAAUUUAUUAUCCAGACACAGUAGUCUUUACCGUACGCCUGGAAAUUGGAAUGGGAGGGGACGAAAAGAAAAAGCUUUGACACAGUGACAUGCAAUGGCUCCUCACAUCUUUUCUUCUGUGGAUGAACGAAAAAAUCCAUUUGCGUUUCGAUUGACAAGGUACCAGCUAUCCGACAUAGACGGGUUAUUCUUGCUUCGAACACAAGCAUUUCCAUAACUAUUGAUGAUGUCUCUUCGGGGACAUCCGAUAACUAUUUGAUGGUGGGGUUUUGAUGGUUUCUCUGCCUAAUUUUCUAGAUACAAAAUGAUACGAAAGUGAUUCUUGUAACGGGUGUUAAUUUGGCUCGGCACUCGUAAGCAUAUUUAAAUUACACUUAAUUUAUCAUGUAAUUUCACACAUUCACAUUUAUUAUUACUGUAUUUAGACCAUUUUUUUUCACAUUAAUUUUAAUUUUGUAAAAAUAUAACAUCUGAAAUCUCUCUUAACGAGUGCUCCUACGUUCAUAUAAAAUAAUAAUUAAUGUCUUUUGGUAUGAUAGUUUUGUCACAAGUACCUAAUAUUGCAUUUCAAGAUUCUUAAAAAGGAUCUACAUGUUUGAUGUUACUCUUCAUCCUAGUUAAGAUUGAGGUCCUGAAACUUUUUAAUCAACCAAGAUUCAAGGUUCUACAAAAUAGUGGUGGAAAAAAAUGGCAUUGCAUUUGUAUAAUCUUCCGUGUUCUGGGUGCUCCAAUGAUCCUUUCCAUUAGCAACUAAUUUUUUUUUUUUGAAAAAAGAUUACAAUUCAAACAAACCCAAUUGUUUGACAAAAUUUCUCAACUGCUUUGUAAUUCCAAGAAUUCUCAAGACCAACAUAGAGUUUAAAGGCGAGAAUCACAACUCUGACAGUAAAGGAUUAUAUUAAUUAGUGCGUUUGGAUUGUUGAAUUAUCUCAAAUAAUAUUUCACUUCCAUCAUAAACAUAUUUUUUCAAUAUACUUUUUUUUAAUAUUUUCAACUGCCUUUUUAUCUCAUAUACAUCACAUCACAAAAGUGUUACGGUAAUUAUUCCAAAUAAUACUCUAUCCAAACACUUAAACUCGGACCGGAGAGUGAAUCGAAAAAUUCAUCCGAUUCACGGUUCGACCGGUUCAAUUCCAGUUCAAAGGCUUAACAAAUUUUUAUUCAUUUUAGUAUUAAAAAUAUUGAAUAAAACUAAAAUAUUUAUCUUGGAGACUAAAGAUUUAAUAAGUACCGGUUGAACCUCUCAAUUUUUAUCAGUUUUACUAGUUCAAUCGACUCUUGACCGAGUUUGACUGAUUCAAUUGAUUUUUUAGAUUAUUAAUUGAAUUGGAUUGGAGGCAUAGACAGUUCGUGAUUCGAUCAAUCGGUCUGGUCUGAUUUUCGAAACACUGCUGCAAUAAAGAAACUAAAUGCAGCCUAAGGGCUUAUCGAAUGACAAGUAAAACAUCUGACCGAGUUAACCGUACAUCAAAGAGUACUGAAGAAAAAAAAAAAGAUUUCAUCCCAAUUUGCACGUUAUACAUGCACUUAAGAUUAUUAAGAAAACACUGAGGAUUACAACUAUCAAAGCAAGCUAGGUUGAGUUGCUAACUUUACCAAGAACAUAAAGCAUGCCGUGAACAUUAUUAAUAUAUAGUUGCAAAAUCUUUUAUCUUGAAAUUACUGAUGCACAUGCUGUAUUAAAUAGCCAAAUUGUUCAGAUAGACCAAUAAUUCACAAUGAGCAGAAUAACAGGUCGUCAACCUAGGAAGUAGUAAACUAAAAGUCGUUUUUAAAUAAUUAACUCAAUACCAUGAGUUAAUUGGACACACACACACUAUAUCUUAAAUAAGUAAAUAAUUAGUGUCGAGGGAGAGGAUAAUUAGUAGGUAGAGAGAGUGAAUAACUUUUUCUACAAGAGUGAGUAUGGAAGAACAUUCCAAUCAUAGAGAAAUGCUUUUUAAUUUUCCAUGAAAGAAGACUUCACCCCUCGAAUGGGUCUUUUCUGUGCCAAAUUUUGGUGGGAAUAUUUGGUGUUUCCCAGCAACCUUUUCUGACAAUCGCGUACAUACUUAUGUUGACUGAAAGGUGAAAAAAAGGUUUUAAAAAAUGGUUUUGAAAAUGAAGUGAGGAGAAAAAGAUAGAACUUGAAAAGGGCAGGCUGCAUUUUGAAGGGUUUGUAUGCUAUUCACUUCCACCUUCAACUUUAUGUUGGGAAAAGCACAUGGAGGCAUCAGUACACGAGUCAAAUAUAGCCAUUCGGUGAUGUUACACAUUAGACUAUCAUUACAAAUCAAUUUCCCUUGUAUUGAGUUGAUGUGUAGAAUGUUUCCCUUUGUAGCCAAAUUAGAGAUUUUUCGGUUUGAGUUACAAAUUAGUAGUGAUUCAUAUAUUGAAGAAGUAUUAACGCGCUUGUGGUGUUAAAAAUCAUCUCAAAAUGACUAUAAGAUUUGACAAAGCAAUUCUCGAAUUAUUUUGGGGAUAUAAUACUCAUUUCUUCAAUCACAUAUAUAUAUAUAUAUAUAUAUAUAUAAUUGACGAGUAUAUUUAACGAGUGCACAUCAGACACUUGUUACGAUGUAUUCUAGUGUAAAAUUUUUAAGCGCUUGGCAAGUGUCAUUUCCGUUCAACUGGGAAAUGGGAAUCAUAGCAUGCAAAAGGUACCAAACAAGUGUAGCAGAUUUUUUUUUUUUUUUUCGCAACGGUAGAUGUCCUAUAACCUAAUCUAACCUAAUUUAGGGGGAAGGGAUAAAGGGAGAUGGUCAACUAAAACCAAUCACAUAUUAUGGCAAAUUUGAGGGAGGCAGGGGUUAAACCCCUGAUUCCAGCAUCACUAAAGAGGGUGAUAACCACUGGACCAAAUUGACAGUGGCAAACAAGUGUAGCAGAUUGCUUAUGUUAAACUUGGAACUCUCAGUCAGUACUGUUGCAGAAAUUCUAAAGCACAGUCGAGUCCAAGACACAACAUGACGGUAUAACCACCUCCACAUAAUUAAUUAAUCAAAGCAGUUUAAUUGACGGGACAUUUUUUUAAGCCAAAAACAAAAAAAAGUUAGCUCGAAUUUCUAGGCAAAAAGCAAAAGAUACCCACCUAAUUCCUCACUUAACUUUUUAAGAACGAAUUUUAUACAUUUUCUUUCUGGUAGAAAAGGAUGUGUCUGUGUACCUCAUAUUGGCGGUAUAAUACUCGUCUGGUCUACAAAGUCUAUAAUGAUAUUCUGAGGAGGACCGAGCAGACUGCUCAUCUCAUCUUCAUAUAAUUGCAUUGUACUAUUCUAAAACAAUUGCAAAAUUUUUCUCCCUUGUUUUUUUGUCGGCAAUAAGAAUAAAAUUGGAAAGUAUAAUGCACUGCAGUACCCAAUCAAUGCUCUUCUUUUAUCCAAGAAAAUGAAGAAGAAAGAACAGUCAAAGGUGGUUGUUUGUCUGUUUGUUUGGAUGGAGUAUUAUUUGAAAUAAUUACUGUAACACCUUUUGUAAUAUGACGUAUGUUAGAUAAAAAAGUAUGGUUGAAAAUAUAAAAAUAUGAGUUGAAAAAUAUAUUUAUGAUACAAGCGGAAUAUUAUUUAGGAUUUACCGUCUGGUAAAAACGACAGCAGUGCAGUGGACUAGACAUUUUCUACUGACUCGUAGAAGUUAAAUUUGGAAUUUUGGUAGUCAAGUGGAAUAAUACUAGUAAGGUAAUAGAUAUGUAUGUAGAACCAAGUAAAACUUGGAUCCAUUCAAAUCACUAGAAUGUUUGUUAGAGCAGCAUCAUUUGCUGUUGUGGAUCAAUCGAUAAUUAUAUAUGCUGUUGUGGGUUCCGCUUCAGCUAAUGUCAAGAUUAACUCUCUUUUUAAGUGCAAUUUAAGUAACAAAGAAGUUAAAAGAACGAGAGAGGGAGUCAGAUAGAAAUUGGAGUGACAAAGAGGUAGAAAGUGUUCCAUAGCCCUCAAGGAAUGCUCCAACCCUAGUAAUGCAUAUCCACUUCAGUUAUCUUUCUUCCGCGAGCAAUUGAUUACUAAUCAAUUUCCUUGAUCUUUCUCGAUUUGUCAUAACCGAAAAAGAUGUGUGCUCAGCUCAUUUGAGGGGAAAUUAGCAUACAACUAUCAAAGACAUAAACUAAUAACAAUUCUAGUUUCAUCUUUUGAGUUAAUAAAUGACUAGAAUGGCAAGUAUAAAGACAUGGGAAAGGAACAAAACCAACUACCAUCAGCCAACCAAAAAUGCAUUAAACUUUGCAGAAACCUAGCCAAAUGAAUUUAAAUGUCGUAUGCCAAAGUAUCCCUUUUAUUUUCUUUUACGUGUAGAGCAUAAACAUAUAUAGUUUUGUCUAUCUUAAGCAGUCGAGAUAUUUCUAAUUCGACUCUCAAGUUCUUAAAAUUUUUUGUUUAAAAUAUGCAUAUACAGACACAGUCGGGAUAGGAGGAUAGAAUUGUCGUGUGAUUGGUGCAAGACGAUCAAGAGGCUGUCUUUACCCCCGCAUUUGGCGCUGAUGUGUAAUUCUCAGUUCUCCCGUAGAUGGACGGAUAGAUACUCUACUCCCACUAGUACGUACUAUAUCUAUAUGUGCUGCGUCGAGCCAUCUGACUGACUGACUUGUUGAGUGUACAAAACAAAUACCACUAAAAAACCCAGUCAGAUCAAAAUAUCAAAUGUGUUUCUUGGCCUUUGGGUCUCCUCCAACCCCGUAGGCUGCUCUUGGCCUUUUCUACAUUUUUUCUCCCACUCCACAGUCUAUACACCCACUCUUUUGGAGGGCGGGGGAGGAAAAUGUAACACGAACAAAUGUGCAAGUAGCAUGCAAUUGACUACAGUACAACAAACAAGUCCUUAUAAAAUGACCACAAUUAUCACUCCUAUUAUUAAUUACACGUUCCUCUUUUAGGCCUCCUCCACCCGACUCCCCUUGUCUUUCUCCCUUCCAAGGCUUCGACUUUAUCCAUCAUCAAUUUAACUUGCUACAACUGCAGCAGCACUAUGGAAAGCCAGAGGGGUCCUCUUCUGAAUUGGCCUUACUUCUACCAAGGAAAGGUUAGGCAUUAUGUAUAUCUUCAAUCCAUUCAUUUGAUCUGAUGAGAAUUGUAAUGUGUACUAAAGAUGUUUGUUUGGCUGAAACAGGGCAUGGAUGAACUGAGGCAAUCACUUCUGCUGACUACUAUGGAGCUGGAGAACACGAGGCUAAAAGCACAAGAGGAGCUCAAAAUGAGAGAUGAUCAGCUAUUUCAGCUCAAAGAUUUGCUCUCAGCAGAACCAUCAAAGAAAGGGAUGAAGCACAAGAACAAUGCCAAAGACUCGUGCUUGAUAAGCUACUGCUCCAGCAGCAGCAGCUGAUGCUUCACGCCAGAAUCAGCAAUCAGCACCCCUCUCUGGAAUUUCAAGCAUCGAAGAUGAGCCCAGAAGAGGAGGAGGAGGAAUGGACUCCAACAACGGCUUUUCUUCCUCCGACUGCGAAGAAAGCAUUGUUUCAUCGCCAAUUAUUGAGCAAAAUCCGCCGCAAGAAUUGACUUAUCAGCUUCAAGUUCAACCACAACAUCCCACAGCAGAAUUAGACCCAACAUUGCCUAUUUUGACAGACAGGCCAUUGCCUGAAAAAGGGCAGUUCUUGCAAGCUGUUAUGAAAGCUGGGCCGUUGCUUCAGACACUUCUUUUAGCUGGCCCUCUCCCACAGUGGCGCCACCCCCCACCACCACUCGACUCCUACCAGAUUCCACCGCCACCUACACCUCCAACACUAUCGGGUCACUCCCUAAAUCAAGAUUCUUUACUCACCAUUGCUGCCUACAAUAGUAACAUUAACAACUGUGGCAGAAUGAACAGGAAAAGGGGUUACUUUGAGGGCUCUGAUUCUUCAACUGAAGCCAAGUAUCAAAGGCUCGUUCUUCAAUGACUAGUAGUGCCGUUAAUCUACUUCCACCCCAUAAAGCAGAGUGAUACAAGUAGUUCUUUUCUUAGAGGAGGCUUGGAGUACGAUUUUGGAACCUGGGGUCAACUGAUCAUAUACUAGCAUUCUGUACAUAGUUCAGAAAUUCUUGAGUUAAGAGGCUGAAAAGAUCAGAGUUAAUCAGCUGUAGGAGAAGACUAGGGAGACAGGGAUGUUUGUUGUGGUCCUGUUUUUUUACUUUUCAGCUUGUUUCUGCCUCAGUAUUGGUUGGUUUGUCUGCUUCACCAGUGUCAAAAUUCCCUCUACCUUGUGCAAAGGGGAUUUGAUUUUCCAAUAUAAUUACAAGGGGAUAUUUUGCAGAUUCGACGUGCAAUUCAAAUAUUGUUGAGUUUGGUUAAGUAUGCAAGUAAUAAUGCAACAAUUUUGUCGCUCAUAAUUUAGUCAUGAUGCAGAUAUAUGAUGAAUAAGAAAUGCAUGCUUGUGAUUUGCUCAAGCGAAAGGGGCUAUCAGCAGAAUUAACUUGACUAGCAUGGUCGUACAAACGUUCACUCAACCUGCAAUGUCUGAUGUUCCACCAGCUAUAGUUUCUUGACAAUGUGUCAUGCAGUGGGAGGUGGGAAAAUAGAGUGGGGAAAGAGGGGUUGUGGGGGUUUGGAGGAACAUCAAAAUGUUUAUGUAAACGGAACAUCAAAAUGUUUUUUUUUUUUUUUAAAAAAAAAGAAGAUCAUGAAAAAUGGUAUUUUAGAACGUGGAUUGGUUACAUUGGAGGAUAGCAGAAGGCCAUAGCCAAGAGCCGCUAGGUCCAGGAGAGCCUUGUUGUCGGGUCGAGUGGUUCCCACAAAUCAGAAUCAGGAUCUACUACUUGUGUGUGAUUUAUUAUUUUAAGUGGAUUUGAUGCAUCUCAAAUCAUUUUUAGGUACAUUUUGAUCCAAAGUUUUCUUUAAUACUGCUGCUACUGCUUUCCCCAUUUCUCCAUCCACCCCCACUCCCCUCAUAUUUGGUUAGCUAAUUCCAAAAAGUUCAGUAAUUUUCUUGUGCCGGUCAAUUACAGAAGUCCAAAGCAAAGGCAAAUACAAGUGUGAGUGCGUGCUGCAGUUUCUUUCUUAUGUUCACAGGACAUCCAAUUGUUAAUAGACUAAUAGUAUGGACGCAGGGAAUAAUCCAACCUCGUCCUUUGGGCUGCUUCUAAGUGUUGCCAUUUCAGAAUAUAGACUUCGGAAGUUUUCACUGCCGUUUCCUAUGGUCCGAACACAAGCUACAAAGGCCAAUUUUGCAUUUUUCAUUUCUCUUCCUUGUCACUAUCCUUCUAAAAACAACCAAUUUCCAGCUCAUGGGAGUGCGGAGCAAGGCAAAGAAAGAGCCUCUACUCAGAAGAAAAAUGAAGAGUCGAGUCGAGUCAAGAGUCUAAGGUCCGAUAUUUUUAGUAGAACCAUAGAAGAUCAGCUAUCAGACAUUUUUAGCAGUGACUUGCUACAUUUGAUCAUGCGCAAGUGUGAAAGAGGAUAACGGUUUAGGCAUCUUGCAAAUGUUCUCGACUCCUGGGGUAGACACUUUAGACCAGAAACUCUCUUCUCUUCGUUGCAAAAAUUAACGGCAGAGUUUCAAAAAAUCCAAUCCGCCCUGGUGGCAGAAGUUUCUGCUACCUGAUGAUGACUAGAAAGAGUCAGAUGGAAGUACUAACGCGAUUGCGGUUCUUUGACUUCAAAAGUCUUUUAACGAACUCUAGCAGCCUCCAAAGGGAACGCUCUCAAGCCUGAGACCCAUCCUUUUCAAUCCCAUACCUAACCUACCCCCAUCCAUGCCUAAUGCGCGUUUAACCAACAUCAUUGCCAGGUUUACUAACGUUUCCAAAUCCCACAGCAGGCACAGCAAGUAAUCAUUGGUCCCAAGAACCCAAGUCUGGUGCCCCAAAGAAAAUUUGAGAAUUGAUAGAGAAAGACAAUAUCGUGCUAAUCACCCCAGACGUAGAUAUGAAACUGUGAAGAGGCAUUCCAGUUGUAUCACAACUGGUAAACUUGAAAUCCAAAACCCAACUGCGUUUUCCCGUGGAAACGCGAUGUCUUCUUCCUCUUGACAACAUAUGCACAAGCAGGUCAAGUAAAUACUCGGUCUCCAGCUGUAACAUGUGCCAUUUUCUAGAACACAUUCAGACCAAGUAAUAACCUGAGGGAUAAUGCUCCCACCGUAUAAGCAACAGUCUUGGAAGUCCGUCUUUCUUUUUCUUUUUUUCCGCCUUCUUUCCUUUGCCCAGAUAUAGAUCAAAUUAUACAUGUAACAGCUGGAAACUGCUAAAGCCAGAUUUUAAAAUGAAUCAACAGAUUAUAUGGGAAAACUGGAACAGCAAAUAAAAGGUUCCGAGUAUUGCAGCGCAUCUCUAUCUUUCAUAGCAAUAGAAGAAAGUUUACAGCAGAUAGGAGGGUCUGCAACUUGAAAACCAGAACUGUCACCUCUCGAAUUUUGGGUAUCAGUAUUGGAAGGAUGGGAAACCAGCAUUAGAAUGAUGACAAACUUAAUACCAAAAUGGCAAAAUCCUAAAUGUGUGCGUGUGUGCGCGCGUGUGAGAGAGAGAGAGAGAGGGAAUCCCCACCAAACAAACACACACCACCACAAAAAAAAAAGUUGCAAGACACGGAUAUGAUUGUGAAAUAAAUACAGGGUUUUUAUCUAAAGAUGCAUGCAAUCAAAAGUAUCUGGACAGGUUUUAACAUUAUUUUGGUAGCUGUGACUCAUAAAUCAUAAUUCAAGAAAUUAAAUGGGUUUUAAAUGACAUGUGCCAUCGGUUAUAUUACUCGCACUGUGAAUAUUACUUAGAUCAGUGAAACCAAUGCAUCAAAUUUGACAAUAACACAAGUUUGCAGAGGGCACGACUUACUUUUGUGGAUGCCCAGACAUGCACAAUAGGCAUCAUUUCUAUAAAUGAACUAAAAUAUCCAACUAAUUGCUUUCAUUAUUGCUCAUCAUCAUCGCGGUUACUUUGAUUGUGUUUCUGAGCUCUAUAAAUAUCUGCUACCUGCAAUCCAACAACAAUUCAGAAAGAGGCCCAGGCAACAUUUCAUUAAUGUGCGAAAGAUUAUCAGUGAAUUAAUAAAGAACCAGCAAUCAAAAGAUUUUUCUUUACCAUAUCAGCAGAAGAGGCAUCCUCUGGAUUCUUAUCUUCUCGAACCCGUAGUAAACGUGGAAACCGAAGAGAAAUUCCCUUUGGAAAAUUAAAAUUAACAAGGUGAAGGGAUAUCAGAUUUGAAUCACAGGAACAAAAUUUUUCAUUGUCUAAGAAUAACUCACGAUCUACAUAACAAUAAUCUCAACACCCGGUUUACCACUAGUUUGGUAUGUCAGAGGAAAAAAAAGUGUCACGAUGUGGCAUGAAGUUCAACAGCCAUAUACACUUUCCUUUGGGGCACGACGAGGGGCAGCACUCCCUCCAAAAUUGAAUGAAGUCUAAAGAUUUUACCAUGUACAUAAUUUAUUUUCAAAGUAGUCCUUUUUGACAAAAGGGUUUGCCCCUUCUAAUGUUUUAAAAAUCUUAUAGCACUUAACAGAGCACCGCAGCCCCCCCACCCCCCCAACAACAAAAAAAACACCCAGCGGCUAACAAAAAGUCUUGGUUUUGCCAAUGCUUGCAAAAAAGGAUAGAAUGAUAGAAAAAGGGAGGAGAAAAUGACCAGUAAAAUUAAUCUUAAGAGCUUAAUCAAAGUAUGAUGGAUUCACUGCCAGGAAGUUCAGAUGUAUUCUUUAACUUAAUUGUACACGCUUGGAAGUAAACAAAUACCUUGUCUGAAUCCACAAUACCAGUAGCAGCACGAUGAACAGGACUGAUAGUCAGAUCAGCAGCUUUUACCUCCCAAACCUGAAGGAGUAUGACUCAAAAGAUCACUGUAUGAGGCAGAACAAUAAUCUGCAUAAAAAAGGAGCAUGCUAGAAGAAAGUCUAUAUUCACAAGGAACGGGAUUCCCACAUGUACAACACGAAGAAUGCUAAUAAAGCAUCCAACUUAAGUCUAAAAAAAUGGAUGUAUCAAACAAAACCCAUAGAGCAAGAAAACUUCGCUCCCAACAUUUCUUCCUGAGUACAGAAACACUCUGGAAAAGAAUAUCACAAAACAUUGGCAUAGAAUUAUUGCAUAAUUCAUUACGAUCAAUGAGAAUCUCACAAAAGAAUAGACAUUGAGAGAUUAUGUGAGCCAGCUGGCACUGAUGUAAAAAGCAGAGUAAUGAAAAAAAGGAAGAAAAUCACAAACAAUGAACAGAAAAGGAAGCAGAGGAUAACUUAUACUACCUCAAUAGGUUCAAACCAUACAUCUGGAUUGAUUGUAUCUGAGUACCGGUAAUAAGACUGGGAUAUCAUUUAAAUCCAGAAACAUGUCAGAAUCCGUAUAAGGUUUACAGAAAUACAAAAUUCUUCCUAUUCAAUGAGGAAGUAAAUGAAAUACCUUUGGCUUGGGAAUAACUUUAGAGCGCAAGCUGGCAGAGCGCUCUUCAAGCACAGCUUCAGAAAAUCCAGUGCCUAAGCACAACCAAGAAGUUUCUUAUCACUUGAUGUCAAGGGAUGUAUGUAUUUAGAGUUUAGACAAAGUAAUUGAAGUUUCCUAUCAAGGUAAAUUUCACAGUGAACCAUUAAGUAGGCACAUUACCAAUUUUACAUAUGCUCUGGAAUUCUUCGUUGUUGACAUCAUAACAAGCAAGGAGAAAGGCUCCAUAAACACCUAAAAAUGGUUCAACAAAGUUAUGAAACCAACUUCCAAUAAAUGCAGCAAUACAAACCCAAUUAAAAAGCAAAAGAGUAUACACUGGUAACUAUAUCUGAAGCUAGGGUGAAGAAUGUCAAGCAUAGUGACACAAAUCUGAAUCUGAGCCAAAAUAAGCGAAUAAUCACUUAGUGUCCUCUCAAAAAUAUGAUAUGUCAAAUUACCAGUACGUUUUCCCCGGCCAUGGAAAGCAGCAAUGGGAACCAAAUCCAGUGAGUCACCCGUACUGCAGAUCAUAUAAGGUGAAAAGUAAGUUUUCAUCCUUGGUUGCUUUUCAAAUUUCUGUAGUAAUCCUUUCUCGUCGAGGCUACUACAGCAUGCCAUGAUCAUUCAGUUUCUAUAUUUAUGUUUGACCUUCUUCUUGACAUUCCAAAUCAAUUACUCGGGGCAGAAGUUCAGCAAAUUUAAGGUUGAUCUAGUAUUUCAUCCAUCCCUUUAAAUGUGUGCUUGCUACCAAUCCAGUAUUUCAUCAAUCCAUUGAAUGUAAAUUUGCCAUUUUUUGGAUGUAUCGAUUUACCUAAAAGGUAAAAUUGCUGAAUAAUUAUGCCCCAAAGGAAUAGCCAGUGCUGUGAGUUCAAUGCACAUACCUAUCCAUGUAAUCCUUUUUCAACUUCAGCCAGUUAUUUGACCGCUUGGAAGGCUCAUACGUGGCAUCUUUCUUCAAUGUCUUAAUUAUCAACCCCUCACAACUGCAAAGAUGGAUAGACAAAAUAACAAACAGUUCUUGUAGAAUCUGUAGAAACAUUUUUGUUGAUUCUGCAGAAAGAAGCUCCAAGCUAGGAGCCCUCAGGUGAAGCUAAGCACAUCUCAACUUUGAAGCCAGAAAAAAGGGAGAAACUACUACUUCUUAGACAAAUAAUAUUACAUUUCACCAUCUAUUAAUGCAGGGAAAAAAAGGGAAAAAGAACUCCUUAGACCACAGCACAUUAGGAACAUAUAGCAAGAAAAAAUGACAGAUGUACAGAGAAAAAACUGAAUUAAAUUAUCUAACUAGUUGACUUUUCUGACCAGCCAAAAUUCUAGUGCACUAGAAGCCAUAAGGUUGGAUGAUCUUAUAUUGCACUAGGCAAGCAUAAGAUCAUCGAAUACAACAGGUUUGACCUAACAGAGAGAAACUGUAUUGUACAAAACUUUGUCCACAGGCAAAAGUUGACAGAUAUAAUAAUUACGAUUCCGCCAAGUGCAGAAGUCAAAGAUUAAAAAAGAAAAAUUCUAACAGUAAAUAAAGUAGAUUAAGCCAAUUAGUAACAAUACAAUAAGGCCACGACAGGAAAAUGAUCUUGAACUCUGCAAAGAAGAGUUACCUGGCAUCAACAGCAGCUUCAAGGAACUUCUGUAUUUCCUCAAGAUCAUUUGAUGUUACUGCUGUAGCAAAUUGAAAAAAGCCAGGUUCUUCCUCAAAUGACUCGUAAAGAUGCUGCAUAAAACCAGUCAUAAAGAGUAAAGGAAAAUAACAUGACUACUAAAAGGUCGACAAUCAGCAUUAAAGAUAAUAGCCUGAGACAUGUUUACUGAGCAAGCACUGUCAUUUGGAUUCUUUUUAGUUUAUUUCAUCGUGGGAAAAGGAGAGGAGAGUCACAAGACGUUCUUUAUGCGAUACUCAAAACAUUUUGGUCAAACCAUUUUAGUAAUUUGACUUUAAAUAAAAAAUCCAAGAGUCUUUUUACCCAACGCUAAAAGCAGAUAAAGAUAUUAACAUCAUUGAACAAAAAUUAGCAUACCUGCCUUCGACUGUCAAGCUGUGCUUGUAGAAGAGGUUGGCCAUUGAUAUACAAGAUAUCAAAAGCAUAUAUGCAAACACCAACCUUUAUUUCACUCAAGACCACAUUUUUACGAGCCCGUGUGCUGAGGACCUGCCACCAAUUCAAUACUUUUAAGUCUGAAUUUGUAAUACCAUUCUUACAACUCUAGUCAUAUUAGUAGCCCAAUUAGUAAUGAAUCUACCCUUAGUCAUAUUCAUCAAAAUUUCACCACCUUCAAAUAUUUUAGAGCAGACACUGGACAGAUCAAAUUGGCCGAAACUUUAAUACCUCAACAGUCAAAAAUCUCCAGUUCCUAUCAAAGAAAAUCAAGAAUUUUAUGACAUCAACUGACUCAAAUGAAGCACCUGAAAUAGAUGCAAGAAAGAACUUGCACGUGUAGUUUUAAGAUAUCCCAUAGGGGGACUGAAGGUGUUGGGAAGCAUUUCAUGGGCCAGGCCCCAGGCAUGCCCCAUUUAAGUUCAUGAUGAGAUAGCCCAUAACAGAUAGCCCUAGGAUUUUGAGCAUGCUCAAUACCAAGAUGAUUCUUACAGCACCCAAAGUUGACGAGUUCACAAACGAAAAACAAAGAUGACUCGACCACUUUCUUCCCAAUACAGGAUUGAAGGAGAUUUGUUACUUUGCCAAUUUAAUACUUCAGCAUUGAUUGUACAUAAAUUAUUAACAUUGUAUAUGUUGUUGUCAUAUGCCACAACAAAGAUCAUGAAGGCUACACAAUAAGCAAUGCUAGAGCCAGAAUGGGAGACUUAAAUCAGUUAGCAAUCGAUUUUUCUAUUUAACUUCAAUUGUUCUGAUGUGCUAGCAUAGUUAAAAGGACCACUUCAGCAGGCCCAUGACAAAAUCAGAUUUACAAAGAUCUUGCACUUAGGCAAGCUCAAUAUUACAGAAGUAAACAGUUCACCUGGAAGGGGAGAAUUUUUUUCUUCUCACGAUCAAAUGCAACAAUUUCACAAUCAAGAACAAAUGAGGUUACAGACGGCCUUUUAAACCUGCAAUAAAACAGCUAAAUGUCAGGAAAAUUGAGAGAGAUUUUCUGGCAGACUUGUAAUGUUAGUAGGGAACAACUAGUCAUUCUUAAAAAUAAGCUCUACUGAUAUACUCUCAUACCCAACUAUGUAAAUUAUGUUUCUGCUCAUUAAGAAAGCAAUAGACUACAAAAACCCAUCAUGAGAAGGCCCACCACAGCAGUGAAAGUACAGUGCUAAGCUCAGACAGCCUUACUCAACCAAGUAAAGAGACUCUUCCUGUUCAUCAAACCAUUAACCAGCUUGUGACAGCAUGUUCCAAAUCAAAGUUUGAGUGGGCUACAAUAAAAGUACCUUGAAAUUGCAUCCACAACAUCAGGAUACUUUCCAGUGUUUCUUUCUGCAUUUCGACUAUAUAUCUCCACUGUACCAUCCUCCAUGUAGUGAAUCUGCAGGACAUGGUUAGACAAACACACAUCAUCAAGACUGUGAAAGGAAAGGCAUAUAACAUAGGCGUCAUGUCUAGUUUCUUGCUACCUGAGCACGUUCUCCAUCGUACUUGUAUUCACAGGUGAAUUCAAUAUCCUGAAACUUAUCCAAUAUUUCAGAAACUCCCUUAGUUGGUUUUGCUAGCAUAGGUCCAACAGGAACACCAGGUGAAAAGCUACAUGUCUUGGGAAGAUCCCAUACACCAUCAGCAAGAAGAGCAGAGAUUAUUUUAUCAUAGACUGGAAUUACCGAGUAAACUUGUUUCACGAUUUUAGCAGCCUGAGGGAAGGAAGGCAAUUUCACAACAUGUUUAUGCAAUAAACAAAAAACUCUCUUAAAUUUGCACAUAGUAUUAGCAUAAUAAUAAAAUCUAAUUAAAAAAUUUAUUCAAACUCUCUCAGAAGCUUAAAUUCAUGCCAAGAUACCUCUUCUAAAGAAGAAUCUAUAUUUGCAGGAGUUGAAGAUUGCUUAUCAGCAUAAACUGCAGCAUGGCCCAAAGCAGCUAACAGAGUUUGCUCAGCUAAACCAAUGCGCAGUUUAGCCUGCAUGUAGAGUUCAAGAAUAAUUUUCAGGGAUUAAAGGUGCCAAUUUGUGAUAUUAGAUCUUCAAUUGUCUCACCUGGAGCAGACGAAUCAAGUACUGAGGUUCACAAUCUGUAGCAGCAACCAGUAGUGCCUUGAUAUGAUUCUUUUUCUUCUCUUGACUAUCCUUACCAGAUUCCUAACGCAAAUCACGUAGAGAUACAGUUACAAAACUAAAAGAAGUAAACCGUUGUUAUGCUCUUCUCUAGAUCAAUAAAUUAUAAGUUAAUAAACAAGCACCAAUUCAUGUGCAUAUCUCGGCUGAUUACCCAUCAUCCCAAAAAAAAAAAGCCUCUCUCUCUCCCCCCUGAUGUUCAACUUUUCUCACCCGUCUCUCUCUCUUCCGUUUCCUCUGUAAUCUUUAUCUUAUUCUCUCUCUCUCUCUACCUAUGCUUCUCUUGCCCCCCUCGCAACUUUCACUUUUACCUCCUAACCCAUCCUCUCCUCUACCGGUCAGCCCUCCCUUCAACAUGCAAUGACCAUGGAAGCCAAGCUAGAGAUAGAUAAUUGAGGAUUUUUUUUGUUGGUCUCAUGGUAGAUCAGCCUUUCCUACAUAUUAAUAGUGUUGUGGGGAUGUUGUUGGGAAUUCAUGAUGGAUCAAAGUUUUGAUUAACAGUUUGUGGUGAUUUUGGUGGUUUUGCAGAUAUAUGAAAUUUUGAAAAAAUAGUGUGCUGUCAUUUGAAAUUGGUGGGGAUUAGUGGGAUGAUUCAAAGAGUUGAAAACAUUUCUAGUUUGGCAAGAAUGGAUGUGAUGUUAGCGGCUGCUUUUGUUGUUUGUUGUUGGCUGAGUUUUUUUUUUUUAAUUUCGUUGUUGGCUGAGUUCGGUGGCGGUCUAGUUGCAGUCAUACAGAGUCCAUUUGGGAAGAAAGAUAACAAAGUUGGCAAAAGAGGAAAGAUAACAAAGUUGGCAAAAGAGGGCAAAGAAUUAGCUAGACAUACUAAAAAAAAAAUUCACUGGAUUCCUAUUUCACCACAACAAACCAAACAUACGAAAAGAAGUUGCUAAAACCCAUUACGAUUGAGGACCCUUGAUACUCAUUGCUAUUGCCAUUCCAGAAUACCAACCAAACAGGUAGUUAGUGUACUCUAGCUCCAAAACAUUUCAAAAAAUAGAUUUCAAGUUUCAUGUAUGGAAACCAAUAAAGGCAGCUAUGAAUAUCUUAAGGAAUAAGGCAAUCCAGUUUAACUCUCCUCUACAGCGAAUAAGAUCAAAGCUCAUCAUCGAAGUCCAUGAAAUAGGAAAAUUCCCAGGCACCUUAGCAAUAAGGCGAAAUGUAUCAAAAACUUUAACAACAAUUAGUGCUUCUGGUUUGCGCAUUAAAGACUGAGACGAACGGCUUGCUUUUGCAACAAGGCCUAGAUCACCAAGCUCCUGAGGCAAGUCGGAUAGUGAAGUAAUCAUUCAAAAUCAAAAAGAAGAAAGAAAUUGCGGGCAAAAACUUGCAGGAUUUUGAUAUGUCAGGAGAUUCCUGCACACAAAUUAUUAAGCAAAUAUAACUAGACUACACCAUUCGCAAGCUUUGAAUGAAAUUCUGCUCCUCUAACUACAAAAUUUCUUAAAACAAGUGCAGUGUACUCAUUGCAGAAAGAUCAGCCAGAGCCUUCCAUUAAAUCAAGCAACUAGAGUCACAGAAGUCAAGUAAAUCAUAAAGAGAAUAAAUGAUAAAUUUUUUUUUGCAAAUUGUAUCUUAGAUCAAUUAAAAAAAAAUUUUCCAGACAAGCUACUGCGUACAAAAUGUAACAACAACCAACGUACAGCUGCAGCCAAAGAAAGUAACAAGGUAAAACUAAAGCAGCUUCUCAAAUAAUGCAGUUACUUCGUAGAACCAAAAUCGAGCCCAAAACUAAAAUCACAGGCAAAGGGUCGAAUGUUUUUGACAUCAACAUAGCACCAAAGCUAAAUUCAAAAUAUUCAAUUAAAUGUGGCAUUUGACUGGACAAGCUUUUUUUCUAAUCCCAUUCUUGAUAAUUUGUAUAAGAACAAUAGUGCUUGUACAGAGUUAGUAGAUACCUUGCAAACCGAAUCAGACAACACAAUAAUCACCAUAGCAGCAUUCUACAGCAUUGAAGCCACAGCUAGGCAGAGACCUAAAUACAGCAUGGGACUUAUGUUUCUUUCUCCUCCCCUAUUCUCCAUCUCAUUUGUUAAUGUUUUGCAAUUAAUGAAACAAGGCCAAAAAUCUCUAGAAUUUCAUUUACUAGAACUGAGAACAAGUUACCCGCGAUCAUUCUGUCAUUUCACUUGAAGUACAAUUUCUUUAAUUUCUUGGCAUCGAGUUAAGAAAAGCCAACUCCACAAACAAUAAUAUUCAGAGAUAAGAAAAGAAAUUCAAUCAGUUCUAAACCACACCCAAGAUUUGAUAAACACGAGUGACUGGAAUGUAGUAGAGUUUCACCUUGUACUGCUUCUUAAUUUGUGCUUCUUUUGUUCCGCACGCCUCGUACAGAGCCUUAAUAAUCGAAGCAUCCCCAAUCCCAAGCUCCAAUCCUUCAUGAGCUGGAGCAAUCCGGUUCGCCAAAAGGUAAACAACAGCCACCAAAUCCUCUGGCGUCGUUUCCAUCACAGUCCUCAACAUGUUACAAACAAUUGCAGUUAUCGCAAUCCGCCCUGAUUCUUUAGAAAUAGCAUCCAACGCCUUCGCUACAAACAUAAACGGCACCCUUUGUGCCUUUCCCCAAUAUGCCGCCUUCUUGGGAUCAAAACUUGCCGCCUUAUCCUUCAACUCAAGAAGGCUCGCAUCAGGAGUAAUUGCCACCUUAGGUUUCUUAACCACCGCUUCCUCACUUUUCCCCAGCUGGGUUUCUUAAACACCGCUUCCUCACUUUUCCCCAGUAAUUGCCACCUUCGUCAUUUUUCAUAUUUUUUUCCAGCUGGGUUUCUUUAAUUUGAGCUGAAUCAGGUUCUUUGACUGAAAUCGGAGUAGAAUUUUGAGAAGUGAUGAUGGGGGUGGGGGUUUUGCGUUUCUUGGGAGAUGGUUUUUGUUGUUUCUGCACGGACUUUUUCUUGCUGGCAUUGGACAUGAGGAGGUCGAAGGCAGAAGGGUGAGAAGCCAUUGCUGCUAGUGAUCCUGGAUUAACUAAUGGAAUCGAGAGAAAGAGGGAUCUCUGAGAGAAGUGUUUUGCGGGGAAGGAAGAAUAGAUGAGAAAGUAGGGCUUAAAACCGAGUGGUUUUCUGAGGGGAUGAAGCGAAAGAGUGUGGUGGGUAAAGUGGAGUGAAGAAGAGCAUGACCUGAAUGCGGUGAGCAUCAGCUGCCGUUUUUCUGCUACGGAGAGGGAGACAACUGACACGGGUUGCUGUUGCGGAUGCGGAUGGCUAGGAG
rnacentral:lncRNA from 1 species